GCAUAUCAAUAAGCGGAGGAAAAGAAACCAACAGGGAUUGCCCCAGUAACGGCGAGUGAAGCGGCAACAGCUCAAAUUUGAAAUCUGGCCCCUAGGGUCCGAGUUGUAAUUUGUAGAGGAUGCUUUUGGUGAGGUGCCGCCCGAGUUCCCUGGAACGGGACGCCACAGAGGGUGAGAGCCCCGUCUGGCUGGCCGCCGAGCCUCUGUAAAGCUCCUUCGACGAGUCGAGUAGUUUGGGAAUGCUGCUCAAAAUGGGAGGUAUAUGUCUUCUAAAGCUAAAUAUUGGCCAGAGACCGAUAGCGCACAAGUAGAGUGAUCGAAAGAUGAAAAGCACCUUGAAAAGAGGGUUAAAUAGUACGUGAAAUUGUUGAAAGGGAAGCGCUUGUGACCAGACUUGGGCGCGGCGGAUCAUCCGGGGUUCUCUCCGGUGCACUUCGCCGCGUCUAGGCCAGCAUCAGUUCGUCGCGGGGGAAAAAGGCUUCGGGAACGUGGCUCCUCCGGGAGUGUUAUAGCCCGUUGCAUAAUACCCUGCGGUGGACUGAGGACCGCGCAUCUGCAAGGAUGCUGGCGUAAUGGUCACCAGCGACCCGUCUUGAAACACGGACCAAGGAGUCGUCUUCGUAUGCGAGUGUUCGGGUGUCAAACCCCUACGCGUAAUGAAAGUGAACGCAGGUGAGAGCUUCGGCGCAUCAUCGACCGAUCCUGAUGUUCUCGGAUGGAUUUGAGUAAGAGCAUACGGGGCCGGACCCGAAAGAAGGUGAACUAUGCCUGUAUAGGGUGAAGCCAGAGGAAACUCUGGUGGAGGCUCGCAGCGGUUCUGACGUGCAAAUCGAUCGUCAAAUAUGGGCAUGGGGGGCGAAAGACUAAUCGAACCUUCUAGUAGCUGGUUUCCGCGA
rnacentral:rRNA from 1 species